rnacentral:misc_RNA from 1 species
ACAUCUCAACUCCUUGCGGUUCGCCCGCGAUGAGCUUGGACUUUGGGGGUCUUGCUGGCCUGCGGGUUGGCUCCUCUCAAAUGAAUCAGCUUGCCGGUGUUUGGUGGCGUCACAAGUGUGAUAACUAUCUACGCUUGUGGUUUUCCGCCAGGUAACCUCCAGCAGUGGGGGUUCACUGGAGCUCACAAAUGUCUCUCCUCGGUGAGGACAGCUCUUUGAAC